GGGCGAGUGAUGGAAUGGCAGACAUGCACGACUCAAAAUCGUGUGCCGUAAGGCAUGAGGGUUCGACUCCCUCCUCGCCCA
rnacentral:tRNA from 1 species